AGAGAGAGGCAAAGACAUAAGCAGAGAGAGAAGCAAGCUCCAUGCAGGGAAUCCUAUGUGGGACUCAAUCCCUGGAUUCUAGGAUCAUGCCCUGAGCUGAACGGCUGAGCCACGCAAGCGUCCCGGAAAGUGGCCUUUAUGUUGGCGAUGUAAGGAAGCAUUUCUAUUGAAUGGAUAAUGGAUUAUCCUGCUAUAUUGUCUUCAUCAAGGUCAUAGAGUAAGAUUUUAUGAGGAUUCUACUGGCAUUAGCCACCUGGGAAGAAGAUAAUAGUCCUGAGUAGGAAAACAAGGUGGAGAGCACCCAAUCCUGGGAUUCCAGGAGUGUUUUUUAGUGGCUGAUAAGCCUCAUUAAAACCUGUGGGUCUUCUUCUAGGCUGGGCACCCAGCUGCCUUUUUCUAUUUUUGGAAGGGCCACAGAAAAUCUCCUGUCAAGAGUUUAAAACUUUCCACAGCCUGUAAAUCGGGUGGUUCACCCCUUGUAAAAUAUAACUUGGUUUGGUUA